UGCUAAGGGAAGGAAUCCACAGAAGAGACCCCAGCUCAGCCCCAGAGGAGAUCCUGGGACAAGAUGACGUGGAGGAGCAGAGUCAAAUCCCAGCUGGAAAUGGAUCUGGGGAAGAUGCAGUUACUGCCUUGGCUGGAGACCCAACUGUGAUUUUCCACGGUAUUCCUGGAUAAAAACUACUGUAACUCAGCAGAACCCAUGAGCUGACCCAGAGAAGUGACACCAGAAUGAAAGCCUGGAGCAGCUGCUGCCUGCCCUGGAGCUGAAACCUUGCUGGAAUAACUGUGCUGGGAUUGCUGGGAAAGAGAGAAAAAUGGCUUCAAACAGCAGAAUGAACUGAACACUUUGGUGAACGACUCCUCUCAUGGGCUGGUUUUGAAAGAGAAGAACAUUCAAAGGAUUUCUAACAGCAUCUGAAAAGGAGAAACUACUGCAUCCUGUGACUCCACAAACGUGUUUCCCAGGCCUGGUGACAGAUUUUGUCAAGGGAUCCUCGGCUUCCCAGAUAUCAAUAAGUCUGAUGGAUUUUGUGCUGCAUUCUCAUUCUUCUGCCCUGGUGUCUCUUAUGGGAUCAUCAUUUCUGCACGCUUGGAUUGU